GGUGCAAGCCGACUUGUCGCCAAGGUAUUCCCUGGAAUCUACUUGGAGGAAAGUCCGGGCAACAUAGAGCGCCAUACUUCCUAACGGGAAGGGGCAAGGUUGGAGACGGCCUUGUUACAGACAGUGCAACAGAAAACAAACCGUCCUGAUAGCUAUCGGGAUAAGGGUGAAAAGGUGGGGUAAGAGCCCACCGGGUUUCGGGUGACCGCAACUGCAUGGCAAACCUUAUGGGUUGAAAGAUCAAAUAGGCCCCGGUCCAAGAGCUGCUCGUUCAAUCCUGAUUUGGACUUGUCCAUAAUCAGGAAACCGGGGCGGGUAGAUCGAUAGAUCCAGAUUGCGAAAUCUGGGCUAGAUAAAUGACAAGUAUCUUGCCGGUAACUAUCGGCAAAGAAACAGAACCCGGCUUAUAGGCUUGCACUUUUA
rnacentral:RNase_P_RNA from 1 species